rnacentral:rRNA from 1 species
UACGGAGGGUGCAAGCGUUAUCCAGAUUCACUGGGUUUAAAGGGUGCGUAGGUGGGAAUGUAAGUCAGUGGUGAAAUCUCCGUGCUUAACAUGGAAACUGCCAUUGAUACUAUGUUUCUUGAAUUUUCUGGAGGUAAGCGGAAUAUGUCAUGUAGCGGUGAAAUGCUUAGAUAUGACAUAGAACACCAAUUGCGAAGGCAGCUUACUACAGGGAUAUUGACACUGAGGCACGAAAGCGUGGGGAUCAAACAGG